AGAAGCUCCAAGCUGCUGGAACAGUGAUGACUGAAAGCAGCAUCAUCAAAUGUUUUCCUUCUGCUUUGUGGAACAGCUGCUAGAGAAGAACCGGUGGAUCUAUUUAAAAUAAAUACGAAGACUAAACCAGUGAAAGAAACGUCAACACUACAUAUGAACUUGACUUUAAACUAAAUGACAACACAUCAAGCCUCAGGGCCCCUCAAGUCAGCUGAUCCAGGUACGACGACACCCGUGCUGAAGUAUUGUGAAACAGUUAAGAUGGACUCUAAAUAUGAGGCCCAAAGGCCUCGAGGACUGUAGGCUACGAGCACUGUGGGCAAACUGAAGCCGCUGUGGAAUACAAUGUCGUGCAUGUCAUACAUGGCUCCCACCACUAGAGGUCAGUGACGUCUUCUUCAACAGUCGUGGUAAAAGAAGUCCUUCCUACCAGAGUUGAGGGUGAGUACUGGUUGUGGUGGUAUGUGGAACCAACACAACAACCCUUGAUAGGAUCACGAUAACAACAAACAAACUGCUGAGCAUUAGACUCGUUUGGUUGUGUCCUCUGCUGGUUCCUCCAAUAACAAACUCAUAAUCGUGUCCAUUAAUAACAGACAGGUCACAUGGCUCAGAUGCUGCUUCACGGGCUCUCGGCUAAAGGGGAGAAGGCUUCACAUGGUGCAGCUAACAGCUGUUUUAAUCAUCCAUGUCCUGUGUUCUCUACCGUCAU